rnacentral:tRNA from 1 species
AGCCUUAUAUUCACAAAUGAUAUUAAAUUGCAAAUUUAAAGGAGAAAUAUAAUUCUAAGGCUU